rnacentral:rRNA from 1 species
UACGAAGGGGGCUAGCGUUGUUCGGAAUUACUGGGCGUAAAGGGCGCGUAGGCUGUGCUGUAAGUCAGGCGUGAAAGCCCCGGGCUCAACCUGGGAAUUGCGCUUGAUACUGCGGCGCUGGAAGGUGGGAGAGGAUGGCGGAAUUCCCAGUGUAGAAGGUGAAAUUCGUAGAUAUUGGGAAGAACACCGGUGGCGAAGGCGCCAUCUGGCCCCAUUUUUUGACGCUGAGGCGCGAAAGCGUGGGGAGCAAACAGG